rnacentral:rRNA from 1 species
AACGAACGCUGGCGGCAGGCCUAACACAUGCAAGUCGAGCGCGCGCUUAGGAAGAAGCUGCGGUCGGGUGAGUAACGUGUGGGAACGUGCCCUUAUCCACGGGAUACCCCCUUUAAACUGGGAGUAAUACCGCAUACGCCACGCGAAUGAAAGAUAUGUCGGAGAAGGAUAGGCACGCGUUUGUCUAGGUAGUUGGUGGGGUAAGGGCCCACCAAGCCGACGAUCCAUAGCUGGUUUGAGAGGAUGAUCAGCCACACUGGGACUGAGACACGGCCCAGACUCCUACGGGAGGCAGCAGUGGGGAAUCUUAGACAAUGGGGGCAACCCUGAUCUAGCCAUGCCGCGUGAGUGAUGAAGGCCUUAGGGUUGUAAAGCUCUUUCAGCUGGGAAGAUAAUGACGGUACCAGCAGAAGAAGCCCCGGCUAACUCCGUG